AGCAGCCGCGGUAAUUCCAGCUCCAAUAGCGUAUAUUAAAGUUGCUGCAGUUAAAAAGCUCGUAGUUGAUUUUCGGGAUCAAUAUGUUGGUCGUGCCUUGGUACGUACUAGCUUAUUGAUUUCUCCUUUCUGAUGAACCAUAAUGUCAUUAAUUUGGUGUCAUGGGGAAUCAGGACUGUUACUUUGAAAAAUUAGAGUGUUUAAAGCAGGCUCACGCUUGAAUACAUUAGCAUGGAAUAAUGAAAUAGGACGUUUGAUUCUAUUUUGUUGGUUUCUAGGAUCGACGUAAUGAUUAAUAGUGAUAGUUGGGGGCAUUAGUAUUCAAUUGUCAGAGGUGAAAUUCUUGGAUUUAUUGAAGACUAACUACUGCGAAAGCAUUUGCCAAGGAUGUUUUCAUUAAUCAAGAACGAAAGUUAGGGGAUCGAAGACGAUCAGAUACCGUCGUAGUCUUAACCAUAAACUAUGCCGACUAGGGAUCGGAUGAUGUUAAUUUUUAAUGACUCU
rnacentral:rRNA from 1 species